GGUUAAGCGACUAAGCGUACACGGUGGAUGCCCUGGCAGUCAGAGGCGAUGAAGGACGUGCUAAUCUGCGAUAAGCGUCGGUAAGGUGAUAUGAACCGUUAUAACCGGCGAUUUCCGAAUGGGGAAACCCAGUGUGUUUCGACACACUAUCAUUAACUGAAUCCAUAGGUUAAUGAGGCGAACCGGGGGAACUGAAACAUCUAAGUACCCCGAGGAAAAGAAAUCAACCGAGAUUCCCCCAGUAGCGGCGAGCGAACGGGGAGCAGCCCAGAGCCUGAAUCAGUGUGUGUGUUAGUGGAAGCGUCUGGAAAGGCGCGCGAUACAGGGUGACAGCCCCGUACACAAAAAUGCACAUGCUGUGAGCUCGAUGAGUAGGGCGGGACACGUGGUAUCCUGUCUGAAUAUGGGGGGACCAUCCUCCAAGGCUAAAUACUCCUGACUGACCGAUAGUGAACCAGUACCGUGAGGGAAAGGCGAAAAGAACCCCGGCGAGGGAGUGAAAAAGAACCUGAAACCGUGUACGUACAAGCAGUGGGAGCACAGAGCAAUCUGUGUGACUGCGUACCUUUUGUAUAAUGGGUCAGCGACUUAUAUUCUGUAGCAAGGUUAACCGAAUAGGGGAGCCGAAGGGAAACCGAGUCUUAACUGGGCGUUAAGUUGCAGGGUAUAGACCCGAAACCCGGUGAUCUAGCCAUGGGCAGGUUGAAGGUUGGGUAACACUAACUGGAGGACCGAACCGACUAAUGUUGAAAAAUUAGCGGAUGACUUGUGGCUGGGGGUGAAAGGCCAAUCAAACCGGGAGAUAGCUGGUUCUCCCCGAAAGCUAUUUAGGUAGCGCCUCGUGAAUUCAUCUCCGGGGGUAGAGCACUGUUUCGGCAAGGGGGUCAUCCCGACUUACCAACCCGAUGCAAACUGCGAAUACCGGAGAAUGUUAUCACGGGAGACACACGGCGGGUGCUAACGUCCGUCGUGAAGAGGGAAACAACCCAGACCGCCAGCUAAGGUCCCAAAGUCAUGGUUAAGUGGGAAACGAUGUGGGAAGGCCCAGACAGCCAGGAUGUUGGCUUAGAAGCAGCCAUCAUUUAAAGAAAGCGUAAUAGCUCACUGGUCGAGUCGGCCUGCGCGGAAGAUGUAACGGGGCUAAACCAUGCACCGAAGCUGCGGCAGCGACGCUUAUGCGUUGUUGGGUAGGGGAGCGUUCUGUAAGCCUGCGAAGGUGUGCUGUGAGGCAUGCUGGAGGUAUCAGAAGUGCGAAUGCUGACAUAAGUAACGAUAAAGCGGGUGAAAAGCCCGCUCGCCGGAAGACCAAGGGUUCCUGUCCAACGUUAAUCGGGGCAGGGUGAGUCGACCCCUAAGGCGAGGCCGAAAGGCGUAGUCGAUGGGAAACAGGUUAAUAUUCCUGUACUUGGUGUUACUGCGAAGGGGGGACGGAGAAGGCUAUGUUGGCCGGGCGACGGUUGUCCCGGUUUAAGCGUGUAGGCUGGUUUUCCAGGCAAAUCCGGAAAACUAAGGCUGAGGCGUGAUGACGAGGCACUACGGUGCUGAAGCAACAAAUGCCCUGCUUCCAGGAAAAGCCUCUAAGCAUCAGGUAACAUCAAAUCGUACCCCAAACCGACACAGGUGGUCAGGUAGAGAAUACCAAGGCGCUUGAGAGAACUCGGGUGAAGGAACUAGGCAAAAUGGUGCCGUAACUUCGGGAGAAGGCACGCUGAUAUGUAGGUGAAGUCCCUCGCGGAUGGAGCUGAAAUCAGUCGAAGAUACCAGCUGGCUGCAACUGUUUAUUAAAAACACAGCACUGUGCAAACACGAAAGUGGACGUAUACGGUGUGACGCCUGCCCGGUGCCGGAAGGUUAAUUGAUGGGGUUAGCGGUAACGCGAAGCUCUUGAUCGAAGCCCCGGUAAACGGCGGCCGUAACUAUAACGGUCCUAAGGUAGCGAAAUUCCUUGUCGGGUAAGUUCCGACCUGCACGAAUGGCGUAAUGAUGGCCAGGCUGUCUCCACCCGAGACUCAGUGAAAUUGAACUCGCUGUGAAGAUGCAGUGUACCCGCGGCAAGACGGAAAGACCCCGUGAACCUUUACUAUAGCUUGACACUGAACAUUGAGCCUUGAUGUGUAGGAUAGGUGGGAGGCUUAGAAGUGUGGACGCCAGUCUGCAUGGAGCCGGCCUUGAAAUACCACCCUUUAAUGUUUGAUGUUCUAACGUUGGCCCCUGAUCGGGGUUGCGGACAGUGUCUGGUGGGUAGUUUGACUGGGGCGGUCUCCUCCUAAAGAGUAACGGAGGAGCACGAAGGUUGGCUAAUCCUGGUCGGACAUCAGGAGGUUAGUGCAAUGGCAUAAGCCAGCUUGACUGCGAGCGUGACGGCGCGAGCAGGUGCGAAAGCAGGUCAUAGUGAUCCGGUGGUUCUGAAUGGAAGGGCCAUCGCUCAACGGAUAAAAGGUACUCCGGGGAUAACAGGCUGAUACCGCCCAAGAGUUCAUAUCGACGGCGGUGUUUGGCACCUCGAUGUCGGCUCAUCACAUCCUGGGGCUGAAGUAGGUCCCAAGGGUAUGGCUGUUCGCCAUUUAAAGUGGUACGCGAGCUGGGUUUAGAACGUCGUGAGACAGUUCGGUCCCUAUCUCGCCGUGGGCGCUGGAGAACUGAGGGGGCUGCUCCUAGUACGAGAGGACCGGAGUGGACGCAUCACUGGUGUUCGGGUUGUCAUGCCAAUGGCACUGCCCGGUAGCUAAAUGCGGAAGAGAUAAGUGCUGAAAGCAUCUAAGCACGAAACUUGCCCCGAGAUGAGUUCUCCCUGACUCCUUGAGAGUCCUGAAGGAACGUUGAAGACGACGACGUUGAUAGGCCGGGUGUGUAAGCGCAGCGAUGCGUUGAGCUAACCGGUACUAAUGAACCGUGAGGCUUAACCUU
rnacentral:rRNA from 1 species